UAAUAGCGGGUUCUUAUAUUGGAUUUUUCAUGUAAUACAAUACAACCUUAGUGAAAGUCAACAGAAUGGGUUCUGUGGCCCUUAAUUCACAUGGACCACAUAGUUUAGGAUCCCAAACCACAGUAGUCACCUAUCUAGAGCACACUGUAUUUUCUAACCAUCCAGGAAGGUUAAAUUUUUAUAUCAUGAGAAGGAUUGCAUGACUGCAUUUCUCUUUAAAAUGGCACAUGAAAAAAUGCACCACAAUUGUCCUUCAGACCUGGUAACAGGUCAUAGGCCUCUAAGACAGAGAGAACUAGGCUUUGAGAGCUCUUUAGCCCUAAGGUACUUAGUACUUAUGCCACAGCUCCUGAUCCAUAUUGCUUUGUUCAUAUUGUGUUUCCUUAAUGUCCAAUACAGUCUUCAGGCAAUCUGCCUUGUUUUCAAUCAUACACAGUAGAGAGAAGAAAUAGGCCAUGAGAGAGUUGGAAAUUAAAACAGGAAGAUACUGUGGAAGUUGUGGACUGGACUACUGACAACAGUGACUUCUUAAAGGCACUGCAAGAAGACACAGAAUAGGGCCAACCUCUAACACAGAUGCUGGACACGCUUCUAGCUUUGGGUAGAACAGUUGCCUGAACUUACAAAAGAGUUUUUAAGGCAAGUGGUUGGUAUAUUUUUGUUGAAAGAGAUGUUAAGAAUGCCUCUAUAUGUUGUAAUACAUAUCUAAUCCUACUUUUAAAAAACAUUUGGGUUCUGAAAAUAUUUAUAAUAUUUCUAAAAACAUGCAGUGAAUAACAGCAAAUAGCAAAGCUAUUAAUAGCUGAGGAAAUCUUCAAUAUAUAAGAAUUCUUCACUCAUUUAUUUUACUGUAGUUUGAAAACAGAGCUAAUCACUGGUUUAAUCAGUUAAUGACAUUAAAAGAAUUUGAAUCUUAUGACAAAUAAAAACACAAAUUGUCCAAAUACAUGUUCUAUGAAGGACUUUGGUCUCAAAUUACAAUGAAUUCUUCAAUCUAAUAAGACAAUUCUUUAAGAAAAAUAUAAUUACCUCCUAAUUUCCUAAUUUGGCCUGCUUUUUUAUCAGUUCUCUUUCCUUAAUUUGUAACAUCAUAGACUCACAGAAUAUCUCUUGUUGGAAGGGACCAUAUGACUAAGAGCAUCCUCCAGAUGUUCCUUGAUCUCUAACAGGGUUUGUGCCAUGACCCCUUCCUUGGGGAGCCUGUUCCUUGUGGAGCCAGUGACUGACCAUCCUCUCAUUGAAGAAUUUUUCCUCACAUUUAAACUGAACUUCUGACACAAAUUCAUUCUAUUUCCUUGUGUCCUAUUGUUGGUUCUCCAGAGAGAGGAGAUAAACACCUCCUCCACCUCCCCUGCUGCCCACCUUGAGGAACCCCUCAGCCUUCCCCAAGCUGAACAAACCAAGUGACCUCAGCCACUCCUUGAAAGUCUUGCUUUUCAGGCCUUUCACCCUCUGCACACACUCCCAUAGUUUGAUUUUCUUAUAUUGAGGCACCCAAAACUGCACACAGUAAUUGAAGUGGUGCCACCCCAGCUUAGAGCAGAGGAGAACAUUCUCCUCUUUUGCCUGGCUGGUGAUGCUGUGCCUGAUGCACCCCAGGACACAGCUGGCUGUCCUGGCUGUCAGGGCACUGCUGGCUUAUACCAAAUUUAUCACCAACCCAAACCCAUAGAUCAAUUUCUGCAGAGCUGCUCUCCAGUCUUUUAUUCCCUGGUUCAGUCCAUAUGUAUAACCUGGAUUAUCCUGUCCCAUGGUGACUGGUCAUGCUAAAUUUCAUAUUGAUGAUAUCCAGAUCUUUCUUUAAGUCCCCUCUGCUCUCAAGGGUGUCCACAGCUUCUCCUAAUCAAUAUAAUUAGCAAACUCAUUUAAGUUAUUUCAACCAGGGAAAGUUUUCACACAUGAGUAACAAAAAUUAGUGAGAAGUCAAGAAAUAAUAACGAAGUCUGCUUAAAUACUUAUGAUACCUGUGAUCAUUAAUUAUGUUGAUUAUUGCUUUGACUAGGAAGUAAGAAGAAACUUGAGAUUAGCCUGGCAAGACAUGGAGUACUGGUACCUUGAAAAACAUGCAGCAUAAACAUGCAGAUGAAGUGCAUACAAGAAUACAGACAAUCAAGUCAACUGAUCUCUGCUAUCAGCAAAUAUCCCAGGUCUUUAGUGGAGGUAGGAGCCCAGGUGGGGGGCAAAUAGGUUAAUUGACUAGAAAGGAAUGAAAGUUCUGUGUCAGCAGCAGAGAGAAAGGGAAGUAAACAGAUAAAGUGAGAAAGAGACUCAAAGUAUGCUCUAGGCUUUUCCUUUCAUUAGGUCAGACAUUUCUCUUUGAUGGAUAUAAUGCAGAUCAUAAUUAAUGCAUGACACAAUUGAAGCUGUCUUGCUGGCUGAAGUUUAAAUUUUAGAGUUAUUCACUACUUUAAAAACACAGAAAGAAUACUACUCCUGCAAUUAAUUAGUCCACUUAUCGUUCAGUCAAUGAUGACAGCUUGCAUUUCCUAUGAAAAGAGAAUAAAACACCCUCAAACAGUCAGAAAGUGAUUAGCCAUUACUUUUAUAUGGUAUCCCAUACCAUCAUGUAUUUUGGCAUUCUUGUAAGAAGUUAAAAGCACUUAAAACACUCCACUCACAAGUACCUAUUUUACCACAUGAGAAUGUGCGUAUUUUUACAUUUAAAACUUAUAUUUGCUUCUUCAUAAUUUGAGGCAAAAUCCAUUACUUUUGAAAUAAUACGUCCUCUAUAUUCUGUGAAUAUAGAGCUGAAGUCUUGGUAUUAUUAUUUCUCUCUCUCUUUUUUUUUUCCUCUCUCUUUUUUUUUUUUUUUUGUCUAUUUGCACAAAUAUCUAAAACAUUCUCUUUAAUAUUCAACUAUGCACUCUGGUACUAUAUACAUUCAAUUAAAAUAUGAAAUUCAAAGUUUUUUCUACAGUUAUAAUGACAUGGUACCUCUCCACAAGUGGAACUGUAAGAGAAUGAUGCAUAUAGAUCAGGCACAGACUGAAAUAAAUUGGAAGAGAAGCAACAGUUGUGAAUAUACUCAUCAACACUAUCAGAUGAGAAGGAAUCAAAAUGCAGCUACAGAGAAGGAUCUACUUUGUGGUAGACAAAUUCCUAUUUAUUUUGCAUGCCAUAAUGAAAACAGAAUUGUAGGGGUCAUGUCAGGGACUUAAUUCUAAAAAUAAACCACUUUAAUUAUGGAAUAUUCACAAGUAUCUUAACAUUAGCUUCACACAACUGCAAUCAGAUUUAACCUCUUUUAAAAAAGAGUUAGCUAAUGUUAGCAAAAUGUAUAGCUAAUACAUGUUUUAUAUAUAUUAUAAGCUUUUCAUAUGUUACCUUUUUAGUAUGUCCAUUAAUUGGGUGGAGGGAAAAAUUUUACUCUAAAGAGCUAAUUACAGAUACCAAAGAAUGACAUCUAAUUUUUUUGGUGUGUUUUCUCGGAUAAGUAUAUUAUAAUGUAAAAGGCAUCAGACUGGAUAUUAGCUUUUUGCUGGUUGCCUAAUGCCUUUCCCAAGGUGCCAUCCUUCUCAUGCUUGUGGCAGUGGUUAUAUUUCACUCCUUGCUCCUUUUUGGUGCUAAGAGAGAAUAAGUGAAAAUGCUUUUUCCCUGGUCAUUCCCCUAAAAGUGCUCAUAGCCUUUGCUUAUCUAGCAUGUAUAGGCAAGUUGACACUUUUCCCAGCAUAAAGAGCAUGGAAAUGUUGGCAGCUAUAGAGCUCUGGCAGAAACAUCCAAGCUGAUUCUCACAAAUGGACACACAAGUGCUUAGGUCUCUGUAAGAGAUUCUAAAUCCAGAAAGUAUGCCAAACAGCUGCUCUGCUAUUGUCCCAACUUUGCCUUCACUGGCCAAUAAGACGAGUAUUAUUUGCCUUCUGUAAUCACCAUUUAUUUCUGCUUUGCAGUUGAUACAAACAUUGAAAAUAGCUGGUCAUGAAAGAUUUCAUGAUCCAACUGCCAAAUGACCACAUGGGUACAUCUAUGGCACCUUGCAGAUUAAGGCACCAGGCAAAAUAAAGAUACAUAUGGUACACAGGAACAGAACCUGGACUGCAUGUGAAAGUUAAUUGAAUGAAGAUUGCAAAUCUGGCCUUGGGAUGGCUUUCAAAAUUUAUGAAAAUAACCAAUCAGACUCAGUGAAUUCUCCACAGCUGAUGGUGUUCUAAGCGCUGGCAUUGGAACAGAAAGCCAACAAAACCUGUAGAAGUUAUUAUCCUUUCUGUCUCUUCCUGCUGGCUCUGGGAAGCCCAUUACAAGUUAUGCUUACUUCAUCUGUUUACCAUUUUCACAUCUCUCUUCCUUUUAUCAGGAAAGAUACUUGCUGGGCCUGAGUGAAUGGUAAGAAAGUUCUAAUUAGGUUAUUUGGUUAUUUAUUGGACUGCCAUCAUCAGUAUCUUUUUUGGUUUUUUUUUUUGGCAACAUAAACUCUUAAAUACUUUUCUUGUAAUUUUUCAGAUUUUUUUAUUUAGGGGUCAUUCAAGUAAUCUACUUUUUCAGAUGUGUCUUGACAGGAUUUUACACAAUAUAAUCAUGCUCUUUAUUUUAACAUUCCUUAUUUUUACUCUAGUUAUUGUUUUCUAUAUCAGUGUGAUUUAUGGUGCUUUUUUUUCUUUUUGAUUGAAUACAUAUCUCAUUUCAGCUUGUUCUGUUUAUUGGCCUCUCAGGCUGUGGCCAAGAUAUUUUUAUACAACAGUUACAAAAAUUCUAUAUAAUACAGAACAAGUAAAGAACCACAUGGUAAAAUGUUAAUCCAAGAUUUUUAAAGGCCAGAUUCCAUUAUCUCCUGUGUUAUAAACAUUUUAUAUGACCUUAUCUUACCCUGAGACUAGCUCAGUUCUGAGUUUGAUUCCUUUAAGUGUUGGUCUUGAUGAUCAUUUUGGAUCACUGCUAACCCAGAAUAUUCUGUGAUUCUGUGAUCUGCAACACAGAAUGUUUUCUAUAUUAUUUGGGUGCCCCCCUUACUAAGCUAAGAUGAUCCUGACAUCUUCAUGGUUGUGUCUGAAUCUGCUGGCAGUGAAGCUUACCUGGGCCCCAGGGUCCACACCUUUGGAGUGUGUGUGAGACUUGCCCAAGGAGGAUCAUCAGAAGUGAUGUUCUUGGAGCUGCUCCACCAGGAUAACCUGGUCCUACAGUGAGAGUGAGGAGCACUCAGAGAUAGGGGACAAAUAUGUGGCGGAGGAGAAGCCAAUGCGUAAUCCUCACUGCAGCCUGUCAAUUUUACUUUUAAUAAUGUUAGAAAUCUGCUUUUAAAUCCUUGGUCAGUUUUAAGUAGAUCAACUGGGCAAUUUUCCUUCAUCUCCCUUUUCUAUUCUAUUUUCAUUGUAUUUAAAUAUGAUACAAAACUGGAAGUUUUCUGAAGUUUUUCAUGACCCUUAAAUAAAGCAAGUAUAAUACAGGGGUAGGUACAGUAUAAUAGGGGUAGAGGUGGGUAGAGGUAUUCUGUUUAGUUCCCCCCUCAAAGGAAAUUAAUUAUUACAACUCUUAUUUUCAUCCUGAAUUAGAAUGGCAUGGCAAAGCAUCAAAUUAUUCAUGUCCUGGAAGCUUAAAAAGCUUUUUUUAAGCAACAUUCUGAUUUUAGUUUUUGCAAUCAUGCCUGCUAACAUAUUGCAGUUAAAUAACUGUGGGCCAGCUGCCUGGGAUAUCCUGGACAGAAGGAUGCUCUGUGCACAUACUCUGAGGUGCAUGGGAAUAAUCACUCUUUGUCUGGGAUAUCCCUCUCCGGAAGCUCAGCCUUAGUUACUGUCACUGUUCCAUCAGGGAUCUGCUGGGGUGGAGGAGUAGGAAGGUGGAUUCAUGGAUAUGAUUAUUGCUGUUGCAGUGUUUUAUUUUAAUUCAUCAAGCUACUGUGGGAUGCUUGUUUUUUUCUCAGUUUGAUACAAACCUGAAUACCACAGGGAUUUAUUAUAAUUCCAUAUGCACUAUGAACUCCGAAUGUGGGGUAAGCUAAAUAAUAGUAUAAUCUGCCCUAGGAGCUUUAGUCAUGCAUUCAGAAGGGAAACUGAAUUAUUUUAUGGGAGAUAUAAUUAAAUCAGUGAUUCCUCUCCAUAGAAAAGCUCAUCCUAACAAAUGCUGUUACAUGCCUCCUUAGGGACUAACACAGGGGCAAACAAAUAUUGAAGCAUUUUCUGAUUUUAUUUUACAAAUGAAGAUAUCAAGAAUCAGAUCUACUUGCCCCAAGAAGAAAUAUUAUAUUUAAAAUUACAUAAAAUAAAUGUGAAUGCCAUGGUAAAAUUGAAAUUUGAACAGACAAAAUUUUUCAUUAUAAAAGUUUUGAGCAGAAAUUGUCAAAAAAUUCCACAAGUUUGUUCUGACAUUUUGAAUCACUGUAAACUAUCAAUGUUUUUAGUGAACUACUCUGCAAGUAGCAAUGUCAAAAAUAGUAUAUUAACAGAUAAACUACUCCUAGCUUUCAUUCUGUUCAUGAAAUUAAUGAAGUGUUACUAAUGAUUUUCUCCAGUUUUUACAAUUAACACUAUCCCUCAAAUUGGCUCAGUUUAGAGAAAGUAUCUCCUUGGUGAUAUAAACUGGCAGAAGAGGUAGCAGCAUGACUUAAACAUGUUGCUACUCAAUACCCAAAUGUUUGGCUACAAAUUAGUCAGAGUUGAUAUGAACAUCAUAAAAUCACCUGUUUUUAGAACUCCCCUGUAUUAUGUUGUGGUAAGAUAUUUGCAUGUGGAUGCUGUGAGUAAAUGGUUUCCUACACUGUGUCAUGGUAUUACUAUUCUUUCCUUGAAAUUAUACCCUUACCAUAAUAACCAUUUCCAUUCUGCAACUGCUAUAUUAUACUUCUACAAUAUGAAAGUAGAAAUUGCUGAAAAGUAAAGUAAUUGUGUUUGAAAUUCAAGAAGAGAGACUGCAUUAUGAGAAUUGAUGGAAAAGGACCACAGAUGAAAAUAGUGGCACAGUGCAUUAGCAAUUAAUGGACACAGUGAAAGUGGAAUCAUAUGCAACAAAUCUGUCCCUCCAAGUGUUCAGAGUCAGGCAACACAGAAGGGAAUUGAGUUAGAAAGCAAAGGAGCAAAGAAGAGGGAGGUAUGACUUGAAAUAGAUUGAAAUAGAUGAGACCUGAGUUGGAAGAAAGUUAGCAGUAGGUUUUGAAGUAUGAAGUUGGUUUUUCAUUGAGGAAAAAUUAGUCAAUGAAGAGUAGAUGACUGCAGAGGACAGAAUCAUUGAAUUCCUUACAAUUCAAGAAUAUUUAAUGUUCCAAAUUAUAUUUCUUUCCUCAUUUUUAAAAUCCUAUACUGGCUUUCAGUUCUUUUCGCAUUGCUGCACAUAUUCUGAAUAAAAAGGCAUUUUUAUCCUUUAAAAGAGCAGCAGACUACUGUUUGUUGUGCUGUACAUAAGAUACAGUUGUGUCAGGAUUAUGAUAAGGGGCUGACUUGGUUUAGGUAAAAAUAAUGUGGGGAGAUUUUACCCCAAGAAAGCACUCAAGAAACAUAUACAUGAGGAUGCAGAGUCAGCAAGAUAAUGAACUAAUUUCUAUGAGUCUUUGACAGUUUGAGGUACACACUACAGAAAUGAUUUUUCAUGUAGAAUUGUUUAAAAUUCUCAUACAUUGUACCAUCUGCCCUAGAGUUCUAUUUCUAGAUUGCUUUUUGAUCUUUACAAAACAUUUGGUAGUAUCACUGUCUUUUUGCAAAUAGUUCAUUUUAAUUCAUUAUUUUUCAACAGAGAGAUCUGGUUGCAAGGAUAUGUAUACUCACAUAUAGCUAUUUUCUUUUAGUAGCCUCUACACCAUAUGUUAAUUGAUGUUGUAAAGAAGUGGCACUUAAAACAUGGAUAGAGAUAAGCAAAAUGUCUCUGUCCUUAGCUUUCCUUCACAAGUAAUUAACACCAAAAUCAACCAAGUUAGAACUGCAGGACAUGCUGGUUCUUUGCUUUCUAACUUAGAAAUUGAUGUCCUUCAAGAUUUUUAUAAUUUUCUCAGCAAAAUAAGUAAGAGACAAGCAUUUAGUUAGUUCCUGCAUUACUUGAUGAUUACUCUGUGAUGGAAUGUCUCUGAUCUUUAGCCAGAUAGAAGCUGCAUAUGAUUACUCAGUAUUUCUUGCUGAGCAAACUAAAGGCAUUGAACAAAAUCAUCAGGUGCCAGACCAGGAAAAAUGAAAAAUACAUUUCAUAUAAUGCUUAAAAAAAUUGUAGAAAUAAUAAGUACAGACUGUUGUAAAUGAUGUAUCAUAAGGAUGUAAAAGUCAUUAGAUGUUCCAGCAGGAACUGGCUUACACAAAGUACUGGGUAUUUUAGAGAAAUAAACUUGCCCUUGAUAAACCUCCUUCACCAAAUGUCUACUGUUAGCCAUUUUGGAGUCAGGAGAGAGGGCUAACAGCAUUAUACAUCAUCAUGGUCAUUCCUAUCACAUAUUCCAUGCUCACAAACUGGUGUGCAGAAUAAUUCUUCCACUUUCUAAUGUGUGUGAUCUCUUAAUGACCACGCCGAACAGAAUGGAUUUUGGUGCAGCUUAUAAAUCAUUUCAGUAAUCCUAGCAUUCUCAGGUUGCACUAUCACCUCAUUUACUCCUAAUAUUAAAAUCUGCAUUCUACUAAAGUUUAACGCACAGAUUUUUUUCAUGUGAAAUAUUUUGCCUUCUUUUUUCUUUUGAAAAGCCAGCUGUCUAUCAGUUUCAGAUAACCCCUUUAAGUAUAACAAGAAUAUUAUAAGACUUUGAAGACUUGAAAGAACUGUUUGUUGCUGUCCUAUAAAAACCUUAUCAUUCCAGUAGACUGACACAACAUUCUUUUACCACACAUAAUUUUGCACUUAAUAUUUGUAUCAUUAAAUCUUAACAUUCAUUGAAAUACAUAAUUUAAUACAAGUUUUUUCCACAUAUGUAGUGUUUCUAUUUGACUCAAAGAAAUUUUAAACUUCAGAAACAGAGUGAACAGAACUCAUUGGUGGUUCAGAUCCAGGGAAACUUGAUACAAUUGUUUGUGCAGGACUUUGCAAUUGGCCCUUGUUGAACUUCAAAGGCUCCUCUCAGCCCAUUUUUCCAGCCUGUGAAAGUCCUUCUGGAUGGCAGCAUGACCCUCUGAGGUCUCAGCCACUCCUCCUAGUUUUGUGUCAUUGGCAAACUUGCUGAGGGUACAUGCUGCCCCAUUAUUCAGAUUUUUAAUGAAAAUACUAACCAGGAUUUGACUCAGAAUUGACCCCUGAGGUAAACUGCAAGUUAUUUGCCUCCAAUAAGUUUUCAAGACACUACCCUCUGAGCCUGGGCAUUCAGCCAGUUUUCAAUCCAGCUCACUGCCUCCCCAUCCAGACUAAACUUCAUUAGCUUCUUGACGAGGACCUUAGAAGAAAUAGUCCUGAAAACCUUGUUGUAGUCUACUCUCUCCCCACUCACCAAGCCAGUAAUUCAGUUGUAGAAGGUUAUCAAAUUGAUCAAGCAUGACAUUCCUUUGGUGAACCCAUGAUGAAGACCUCUACUGAUUUUCUUGUAAUUUGUAUGUCUGGAUAUGGUUUUUCAGGAUUAGCUUCUCCAUCACCUUCCCAGGGAUUGAGGUGAAGCUGAUCUGCCUGUUCUCUUUUACCUUGAAAGCAGGAGUGCCAUUUCUUUUCCUUCAGGAAAAGGGCCCUUCUUCCAGCCACCAUUAUUUUAAUCAAAUAUUUUGAAGAAGGGUCUUACAAAGACAACAACCAGUGACCUCAGCACUGGCAGGUGUAUUCCAUUAGGGUGUAUGGAAUGCCCAGGUUGCUUAAGUAUUCCAUGACCUGGGAGGAGGUUGUCUACCAAUGAUUUUCACCAACGUUAUGUUGUUCUAUCUUCUGCCUUUCCCUCAGGUUUCUGUGACCUGAGGUUCCAGAAGGAUGGUCUUGUCAGCAAAGAUUGAAGUAAGAAGGCACUCUGCUUCAGCUUUUCCAUGUCCUGUGUAACAGUCUCCACUCAUUUAGCACCAGACAUGACUUUUUCCUAGCCUAAGAAGGUUCCUUGUUACCUAAGGAAAUAAAGAAACCCUUGUUUCCUUGACAUCUCUAGUCAGGUAAAAUUCCAGUUGAGAUUUGGCUUUCCUGAUGUCAUCCCACAAUGUGUCUAUAUUUUUCCUAAAUUACCCUACAGGCAUUUUUGUCUGACAUCCUCUUAAUUGGGAUGGAACUCUUUUCAGGUUGAAGGAGGUAAUCCUUGAAUGUUAACCAGCUUUCUUGCACUCUACUAUUUUUUUUUUCCCAGGACACUAUUCCACACCAUUCCAAAUAGAUCCUUGAAAAGAACAAAAUCUACUCUCCAGAAAUCUAAGGCUGUAAUUGAUUUUCCCUUCCACUCUCCCCUCAUGAUCCUGAAUUCCACUGUCACAUGCUUACUGCUACCAAGGUUACCUUUGACCUUCACAUCCCAAAUGAGUCCUUCAUCGUUGCUGAGUUUGAGGCCCAGCUGAGCACCUCUCCUUGUUGGUUUCUCUGUCAUCUGGGAGAGGAAAUUGUCAUUGAUGCACUCCAGGAGCCUCCUGGUUUACUUGUGCCCUGUGAGACAGUCCCUCCCAAGAGACAGACAAGGGUAAUCCAACUUCUUGUUAAUAGAUCCCUAGAGGAAGACCAGAAUGAAAUGGUGCUGAAUAAUCAGUGAAUAAACAUGAAUAAUAUUUGUAAAUAUAUAUACAUAGGGUUUAUUUUAGAACAAUUUGGUUUUGAAGAAAAGUAUGUAGCCAUUUUGAUUAUUAUUGUCUGUAGUAUAUAAUAACAUGAAAGGAUUGCAAUAUGAAAGGGCAAAAAUAUCACUCAGGGAAAAUAGAAAAUAGAAAAGAGAGAGAGAGAGAUAGAGAAAGGAUAAGAGUGAGAAAAUCUCACCACUUGUUGAUCUGUGAAUAGUUGUCUCUUGGUCUCAAUUUGUCAGAGGUGGCUGCAAAACACAAAGUCCAAUGGGUUAUGAUACACUCAGGUUAGGUGGGAGUGUGCAGGUAUCUCCCUGGCUGGGGUGCUUUCAGCUUUCUCGUGGAAGGAUUCACCUCUGAGUCUGGAGGCACUUCAGGGGUCUUUGAUGGUUUGUGACACCUUCUGAGACGUGACGGUUUUCUCCUCUCAUGUGAGCACAGUAGGACAAAGAACGCCCAUAAGACCUUCACUGGGGGAUGGGAGGAAGAGGAGUUUUACAGCGCAGUGGUUUGUGUAUAGGAGGACAAUUUAGCCUGACAAGAGGCACCAUCCUAUCCCUUUAUAGGAUUUGUCUCUUAUGUCACUCAUAGCCCAUCAUUCACCCUGUGUCUUACCAGAUCACAGGUUAGCCAUUGCACACCCAAAACUCCCCUCCUCUGCCACCAACAAAGCACACUGCCACCUACACAGGUGGGGAGUGUUUUGAGUCAUUAACCCAUAACAGUCCAGUUUCUCACACUCUGUCUUUUCCCUUUAGCGAAUAGUAUGUUGGUUGAAGAGCUCUAUGAGGACAAGGGCCUGCAAAUGUGAGAAUAUUUCUAUCUCCUAUGUAUAGGAGAUAUUCACUUGAUCCUUCUGGUCAGACAGCCUGUAUCAGACACCCACUACUCUCUGAUGUUUACUCAUCAGUUCUUAGCUGGCUCAUCACCAUUCCCAGGCAGAGCUCCAAAGAUUGUGUCUCAUAUCAAGCACUGCUCCACCUUGUUUUCCUAGCCUGUCCUUCCUGAGGAACAUGUUGAUUUCCAUUGCAAACAGUCAAGGGAUACAUGGCACCAUGUUUUUGUGAUCCCAGCAGAAUCACAGCCCUGAAAUUGUACACAUCUAAUUUAUGUUCAUGCCUCAUGUUGUGAACAUACGUGUAUGUGCCCAUCCGGAUAUUACAAGGCAAUAUCCAUUGUACCAAAUAUCCCUACUUAUAAAAGUCCAGCUACCUUCACAGUAAAUAGACAAAAUAUAAUGCUUGAUUUUUACUGGUGUUGCUGAAACACUCUUUUUUGGACCUAGUAGAGGUUUACACUUUUAUUUAAUUUCAUUGAUGAAUACAUCCAGUGCAGGAAGCUUAGUUUGAAAGCUGCAGUGUGAGCUGCAGGUUGAGCUCUGGGUGAUGAGAGCCUGAGGCAAGAGGGCAAGAGGCUGUGACCUGUCAAACCUUUGCACAACAAAGAGCACAGCCAGGGAAUGGACAUGGCAGGAGCCUUUGUCCCCCAGACUCAGACUGUGAUGGUAUAAAAGACCAAGGGUUCCUUUGUUCUGGGUCUCUCCUUGGAAGUACCAGCUCAGGCUUAGUUUUGCUAUCUUGUUAUUGCACCAUGGCUAAAUUAUUUGAAGGAUCUAGAUGUUUGAGAUUGCAAUGGGAAACCUGAGGCUGAGCCACUGAGAAAACCUGGUGUGACUGUGUGAGAGUAGGAGGUGUAGCUGAGAAGGACCCUCAGUCCCAGCUCAGGUGGUGCAAGAGUGACCGUGCCAGAGGGCUCCUGGAUUGUCAGACAGGAGGUUUCUUUAAAAGUUUUACAUUCACCCAUAAUUAAUUUCUGUUCUAAGCUGUUGUUAACCUGUUUUUGCAUUCCUUUCCCAAGAAAAGCUAAGUUUAAGUAGAGUGCAGCAAAGGAGAACCCUUUCUAGUGCCAAGACAACUUAAAAGGAGAGCAUUUUUCUUCUCACUGGCUUACACACUGCUCUGAAAAGAAGACAGAAGGCCAAAAGACCACCAGAAUAUUUCUUCUUUCAAAGAAAACUAGUUUUUCUGGAGUAUCAAAUGUGCAUAAGACAAUGCAGAUCACCAAGUUCUAUCUCAGAGAAAAAAAGUGCCUGUGUGCAUGCAUGAAUGCAGUGAUAUUACAUUUAAUAGAAACAUAGAAAACAGAGCUGAUUAAUUUGUGGAUUAAACAGAAUAUUUUCAUUUUCCUUAGGUUUAUGUCUUAGAGAGAAUAAAAAAUUGAAAAAUAAAAAGUAUCCUAAAUGAUAAGCAACCUAAAACUUUUUGUUUAUGACAAUAUUUUGCCACUAAAAUAUGUGGAUUUCAGUCAUUUGACAGCUCUAAUGACUCAUGACCAUGUCCGGUAGACUACAGCCAUUUUAACCCACUGUACCAUCUAUCCAAGAAGAUCAGGAUACCUGAAAAAACCACAUUCCUGAAUUUGAGUGAGGGCAUCUGAGGUCCAGUGGUGCAGAGCUAUAUUGACCCUGAUUCUAUGGUAUUGUCAAAGCAUAACUUUAAACCAUAGUGUCCCACAUCUAGUGCCAUAAUGUCGUUCUGUACAGAACUAUAUGUUGUAGAUACAAUCAACUCUUUCUUUGACUUUACUAGACUUUGUUUACUUUAACCACUGUGACAGAUGGAGGCAUACUUACAAACCAAUUAGCUCAUGUGGGGGAGGUAUGGAAAACACAAAGAAAAGCUCUCUGACUAGAUGUCAACACCUGAAUUAAAUUGCUUAGAAAAAAAAAUUGGGCAUUUCCAUCACUGGGAUUUUUUGGUUUGCUUUUUAAAUUUUUUUUUUAAAGAAAGAAUUAGUUAAAGAGAUUCCUUUGUAGAUAUUUAACUGAAUGGCAUUCAAAUUGUACCUCACCUUUUUGGAGAAGGAAUGAGGUUAAGGAAGCCAUUGCUUAUCCAUCUUGGCUGUGAACUGUGAGCAUUUGGCUGAAACUCAGUGACCCUAGAAGCUGACUAAUUCCUAAGAUUCAGACCUUUGAGCAGUCCUCCCUUCCUUUGUCCACAGAAUAUUUUAUUUGCCUAUGUCACGUCACAGAUAUUGCAUCUAGCAGAGUGGCUGAUGUAUGGAUGAUAGUCCCAAUGUCCCACUAAAUGAUGAAACCACUACACAUAGGAAAUGGGUAGACUUUGGCUGAGCAGCUGGCCAAGCAGUAGCAGAAAACUUCCAGUCAAGGAAGCAAGAGUAGUGACAGAACCAGAGGUUAGCCUGGUUUUUAA